GACGAACGCUGGCGGCGUGCCUAAUACAUGCAAGUCGAGCGAACGAAUCGAAAGCUUGCUUUUGAUUCGUUAGCGGCGGACGGGGGAGUAACACGUGGGCAACCUGCUCUUUAGACGGGGAUAACACCGAGAAAUCGGUUCUAAUACCGGAUAACACGAAAUGUCGCAUGACGUUUCGUUGAAAGACGGCGCAAGCUGCCGCUACAGGAUGGGCCCGCGGCGCAUUAGCUAGUUGGUGAGGUAACGGCUCACCAAGGCGACGAGACGUAGCCGACCUGAGAGGGUGAUCGGCCACACUGGGACUGAGACACGGCCCAGACUCCUACGGGAGGCAGCAGUAGGGAAUCUUCCGCAAUGGACGAAAGUCUGGCGGAGCAACGCCGCGUGAGCGAAGAAGGCCUUCGGGUCGUAAAGCUCUGUUGUUAGGGAAGAACAAGUAACGCAGUAACUGGCGUUACCGUGACGGUACCUAAUGAGAAAGCCACGGCUAACUACGUG
rnacentral:rRNA from 1 species